CUUGCGGCAGGCCUUAACACAUGCAAGUCGAACGGUAACAGGAAGCAGCUUGCUGCUUUGCUGACGAGUGGCGGACGGGUGAGUAAUGUCUGGGAAACUGCCUGAUGGAGGGGGAUAACUACUGGAAACGGUAGCUAAUACCGCAUAACGUCGCAAGACCAAAGAGGGGGACCUUCGGGCCUCUUGCCAUCGGAUGUGCCCAGAUGGGAUUAGCUAGUAGGUGGGGUAACGGCUCACCUAGGCGACGAUCCCUAGCUGGUCUGAGAGGAUGACCAGCCACACUGGAACUGAGACACGGUCCAGACUCCUACGGGAGGCAGCAGUGGGGAAUAUUGCACAAUGGGCGCAAGCCUGAUGCAGCCAUGCCGCGUGUAUGAAGAAGGCCUUCGGGUUGUAAAGUACUUUCAGCGGGGAGGAAGGCGAUAAGGUUAAUAACCUUGUCGAUUGACGUUACCCGCCGAAGAAGCACCG
rnacentral:rRNA from 1 species